rnacentral:rRNA from 1 species
GACGAACGCUGGCGGCGUGCCUAAUACAUGCAAGUUGAGCGCUCAAGGGUGGUACUUGUACCAACGGGAUGAGCAGCGGACGGGUGAGUAACGCGUGGGUAAUCUGCCUUUGAGCGGGGGACAACAUUUGGAAACGAAUGCUAAUACCGCAUAAAAACUUUAAACACAAGGUUUAAGUUUGAAAGAUGCAAUUGCAUCACUCAAAGAUGAUCUCGCGUUGUAUUAGCUAGUUUGUGAGGUAAAGGCUCACCAAGGCGAUGAUACAUAGCCGACCUGAGAGGGUGGUCGGCCCCAAUGGGACUGGGACAAGGCCCAAACCCCUACGGGAGGCAGCAGUAGGGGAACUUCGGGAAAUGAGGGAAGGCUGACCGAGGAACGGCGCGUGAGUGAAGAAGGUUUUCGGGUCGUAAAACUCUGUUUGUAGGGAAGAAAGAUGGUGGGAGGGGAAAGUGCAUCAAGUGACGGUAACUACUCAGAAAGCGACGGCUAACUACGUG